rnacentral:ncRNA from 2 species
AUCUUGAACUAACUAUGCGGUUUCGUUGGGGAACAGCCAACGGAUGUAAAGGGGAAAGCACGGUGCAAAUCCGUCACUGUCCCGCAACUGUAAUGAGGUCUUGUGCCUCUAAGUCAGGAUGCCCACCGCCGGUAAAUAAGCUAA